UAGGGAAUCUUCGGCAAUGGGGGGAACCCUGACCGAGCAACGCCGCGUGAGUGAAGAAGGUUUUCGGAUCGUAAAGCUCUGUUGUUAAGGAAGAACGAGUGUGAGAAUGGAAAGUUCAUGCUGUGACGGUACUUAACCAGAAAGGGACGGCUAACUACGUGCCAGCAGCCGCGGUAAUACGUAGGUCCCGAGCGUUGUCCGGAUUUAUUGGGCGUAAAGCGAGCGCAGGCGGUUAGAAAAGUCUGAAGUGAAAGGCAGUGGCUCAACCAUUGUAGGCUUUGGAAACUGUUUAACUUGAGUGCAGAAGGGGAGAGUGGAAUUCCAUGUGUAGCGGUGAAAUGCGUAGAUAUAUGGAGGAACACCGGUGGCGAAAGCGGCUCUCUGGUCUGUAACUGACGCUGAGGCUCGAAAGCGUGGGGAGCGAAUAGG
rnacentral:rRNA from 1 species